UCAGCUGAACUUUGAGUCCUUAAACCCUAACCCUAACCCAAUAUGACUAUGACCUUAGAUGUAAUCCCUCGACUCCCAGAUGCUCAACUCAUCAGGAACUUCUGUUCCUGCAGUUUACUCACAAAGAGCAGCUGUCUGGAGUGUGGGUGGGCUCUCUCACUAUCUUUCCUUUCUCCAGAGAGAUUUCACUGGUCUGGAUUCCACAUCUGGCUGUGGAUUUCAGCCAUAAUGUCCCCAUUUUUGGGGGAUGUCUUCAGUUCGCCAUGUCCUCACCAGAAGUCCCAGGUGUGCCGUGUUUCUAAUGGUUCCUCGUUUCAGGACAAGGAAAGCAUGCGGUGUGUGAUGCAGGCAGUGGACAAAGCCAAUGGUUACUGUUUUGGGGACUCGGAACAAAGAAGCCUCAAUGUCUUGAUGUCUGCAGCGAUGGGAGCUGAUUUUCAUUUUACAUCCACCCUGGCAUUCCAGGAGAAGUAUGUGCAGCCACAGGAGAAAACAGUGGAGCAGGAAACUUUGGACGUGGAACCUGCCAGUUACAGCAGUCUCUGAAGGAGGGCAGAUCAAAAGGAUUUUUCAGCAAGAGCAGCGGGAGUGCUCCCUGUGGGUUAUUACCGGCCUUGAUGCAGUCGUGAACCAAACACAGGCCACCACCCUUAGGUUCCUUCCAGUUGUCGGUUAAUCAGGAGCCAGACGUUUCUGUUAGGAAAAUUGUAGAGUUGGUGACUGAAGAGCAGUUGGCAAGGUGAUAGGAUUUGGCAUCUGCUAGUUGUCAGAGAUGACCAUUCAGUGCUAGCAAAGUUGUUGCCAUAGAGUUUGUCUCCUCCAGGGUAUUAUCCUGCUUUAUUUUGCUGAGAAGUAUCGAGAAUUCUCUGUGUUGCCAUUCCACUAAUUGGUGCCUUCCAAAUGAUUGAGGGGAGGGGCUCUUGCCAAUAAUAUGCUUUGACCAUAGUCUCAAAGGCCAUGGUUGGGGAAGGCUGUUCUGUCCUUCUUAAGAGUUUGGUUGUCUGUACCCCCAAUCUCCUUUUGGCCGCUUUGAAAUGUGAUGCCAAGGAAAAACAGUGAAGCUGGAUAUUGUUGAGAAGAGUAUCUUUUGAAGCUUUUCUGGUGCUGCCAAGGGUUUGGGAUUUGCAUUUAAAGACCCAUGUACUGGAGAGAGGAAUGCUAAAUAAAGAGUUUUCAUACUU